rnacentral:lncRNA from 1 species
AGCUGUUACGGUUUUUUUUUUUUAGGGUUCGGUGUUUUACUGUUGAGCUGCUCAGUGCCCAGCUUAGAGGACCAGGAAAAGGAGUCACCGGCCAUAUGCUGGAGGCUUGAGACACGGCACAGCGGCGCAGCUCGCCUCGCUAUGGUUGGUGGUGGCAGUGGAGCUUGCGAUUGCCACGCGGCUGGAGGGUCCUUUAGGUUGUUUGAGGGACAUUCAUCAAGGAAACCGGAGAAACUUAAAAUGCUCUUCCGCUUCUUUGGAACAGUCACAGAGAAAAGUGAACUCCUUUCAUUCUUGCAGUAAUUUUUCUUGCUGAUGGGAACAGUUCAAGUCAAGUGACAUGUGAGGAACAUUUUGUGUUUAACGUAAACCUUCCUGUCCCAACUACAUUGAAACAGUAAUGAUGCGACAAGAACCUACUGGGUUGGUGACAUUUACAAGACAGAGUCUUGAGGAUUUUCCAGAACGGGAAAGAUUUUGAAAGAACAAAGAGGAACUACAGAAUCAUUGCUUACAUUGACACCGGCCCUGUUGUCCCAAUGGAUGGGUUUUUUUUGGAUGAACGUCAAAAUUGACCCUGCUGUUAAAGCUUGAAACUUGGAUCUGUUGUAUCUGAGUUCUCUCCUCAAAAAAAGACCUUCAGGAAGUAUCAGAUAACUGAAACAUACCAGAUCACAGCACCACAUGCCUCCUGCCCCUCCCUAAUUUCUGUUCUCUUAUACAUUGUUAAAUUUUUUUCCUGCCCCUAUUAGUCAAGCCCAUGGAUUUGAGACUGAGCUCCCAGCUCCUGGGCCGCAGCACCAGGUUAAAGCUUUCUUCCUUGGCAGUACUUGUCACCUCAGUGACUGGCUUUUUCUCCGAUGAGCAGGAGGACCUGGACGAAACCCCUAGUGUUUGGUCAAGGAACUUGAUGCUCCCUAAAUCCAAAUAUUACGGUUAAAAGAAGAGAGAGGAAAUGUGUGCAGAGAAAGUGUAUUUUACAAAUGAAUUAAAGGUGGAUUCUGAGUUACAGGUUUAUAGAUUUACCUAGAGUUUUGAGUUCAGGAAGCCAUCAUUCUUUAGAGGGCAAUGACCAAACAGUACCAGCAGAAAUUGAAGUACCAGCAGAAGGCUAAGAAGGGAUCAUGGCACAAGCUGCAGUUUCCACCCUGCCCAUUGAAGAUGAGGAGUCCAUGGCAGAUGAG